AGCGAACGCUGGCGGCGUACCUAACACAUGCAAGUCGAACGAGGAUCGUCGGUGUAGCAAUACAUUGGCGGUUCUAGUGGCGCACGGGUGAGUAACACGUGGGUGACCUGCCCUUGAGUUCGGGAUACCCCCUCGAAAGGGGGGCUAAUACCGGAUACGUUCCUCGGUUGAAAGACCGGGGAGGAAAGGUGGCGCAAGCUGCCGCUCUUGGAGGGGCUCGCGGCCUAUCAGCUAGUUGGCGGGGUAACGGCCCACCAAGGCUAUGACGGGUAGCUGGUCUGAGAGGACGACCAGCCACACGGGGACUGAGACACGGCCCCGACUCCUACGGGAGGCAGCAGUGGGGAAUUUUCCGCAAUGGGCGAAAGCCUGACGGAGUGACGCCGCGUGGGGGACGAAGGCCUUCGGGUCGUAAACCCCUCGUCAGUGGGAAAGAAGGGUGUCGGUGCUAAUACCACCGGCAUCUGACGGUACCUGCAGAGGAAGCCCCGGCCAACUCUGUGCCAGCAGCCGCGGUAAGACAGAGGGGC
rnacentral:rRNA from 1 species